UACGUAGGGCGCAAGCGUUGUCCGGAAUCAUUGGGCGUAAAGAGCUCGUAGGUGGUUUGUUACGUCUGCUGUGAAAUCCUAGGGCUUAACCCUGGGCCUGCAGUGGAUACGGGCAGACUAGAGGUAGGUAGGGGAGAAUGGAAUUCCCGGUGUAGCGGUGAAAUGCGUAGAGAUGUGGAGGAACACCAGUGGCGAAGGCGACUUUCUGGUCUGUAACUGACACUGAGGCGCGAAAGCGUGGGGAGCGAACAGG
rnacentral:rRNA from 1 species